rnacentral:rRNA from 1 species
AGAAAGCUUGCUUUCUUUGCCGGCGACCGGCGCACGGGUGAGUAACACGUAUCCAACCUGCCCUUUACUCGGGGAUAGCCUUUCGAAAGAAAGAUUAAUACCCGAUAGUAUAGUGAUUCCGCAUGGUUUCAUUAUUAAAGGAUUCCGGUAAAGGAUGGGGAUGCGUUCCAUUAGCUUGUUGGCGGGGUAACGGCCCACCAAGGCAUCGAUGGAUAGGGGUUCUGAGAGGAAGGUCCCCCACAUUGGAACUGAGACACGGUCCAAACUCCUACGGGAGGCAGCAGUGAGGAAUAUUGGUCAAUGGGCGUAAGCCUGAACCAGCCAAGUAGCGUGAAGGAAGACUGCCCUAUGGGUUGUAAACUUCUUUUAAUCGGGAAUAAAGUGGUCUACGUGUAGACUUUUGUAUGUACCGAUUGAAUAAGCAUCGACUAACUCCGUGCCAGCAGCCG